UACGGGGGGGGCAAGCGUUGUUCGGAAUUACUGGGAGUAAAGGGCUCGUAGGUGGCCAACUAAGUCAGACGUGAAAUCCCUCGGCUUAACCGGGGAACUGCGUCUGAUACUGGAUGGCUUGAGUUUGGGAGAGGGACGCGGAAUUCCAGGUGUAGCGGUGAAAUGCGUAGAUAUCUGGAGGAACACCGGUGGCGAAGGCGGCGUCCUGGACCAACACUGACACUGAUGAGCGAAAGCCAGGGGAGCAAACGGG
rnacentral:rRNA from 1 species